rnacentral:lncRNA from 1 species
AUAUUGAAAUCUGACUGUAUUUAACAACUAUUUAUCUUUUGUGAGCUCAAAAUUAAAGAAACUCAAUAGAAGUGGUAGGUCAUCCAGGUACUUUUCAUCUACUGCCUUUCACCCUACUAUAUAGUAGAGAAGUAUGCAUGUUCGGAUAAUGCCCUAGACCUUUAAAACCAGGUAAAAACAUCAUUUGUUGAACAUCCAAACAGAAUCUGUCAAUCAUUUAGAUUUUGUCAUAUUGUUUGGCAGUCAGUAUAUUAUAUUGACAAUAUAUUAUAUUUUGCUACUUUUGAGUUUCACAACCCCGAGGAACCUCUUUGGCCAAUCACUUACAGUAGCUUUAGGUUUGGAAUAUAAUUCAUUUAUCUUGAAAAUCUGACUGUACUGAAAAACAUUUAUGGAUGCCUUUGCAUAUUAAGAUUUUUUUUUUUUAUUUAGUAAUAAUUGUAUCUUAUUUCUACAUAACUACUAGGUCGUAUUACUUUAAUUUAGUUGUUGUUUGUUUUGUUUGUUUUCCUUACGAAGCACAACCUGCAUUUUUCACUGCAGCUGAACGCCUGGUUUUGGAUUUUCUCCAAUCAGCAGUUCUUCUGAAUUGUUCUUCCCACCUCUCCCCUCCCCAACCCUCCACCCAUAUACCCCACAUCCCCCACCCACCACCCCAAAAAAAAAAAAAAAAAACCUAAAACAUUAAGAGAGAAUGUGAAUUAUCUGAUUAUUAUUAUUAUUAUAGUUGUUGUUGUUGUUAUUAUUAUUAAAGAACAGACCGGAUGAUCAGGAUGUUAACUUGGAUUAUUUAAUCCCAUUUAGCUAAAAGGUUAGAGUAUUAUGAUCAUAAAUUGCCAAAGGCUGUAAUUUAACUAAUUAACUUAUUCUAAUGUGAAGUAUGUUUGAAAUUAAGCACUUUGUUUGCAUACAUGCAGCAUGUGAUGGUAUUUUCAGAGCAUCUCUACAGAAUAAGCAUCACAUUUACACAAUUUCUGUGUCUGUAUAGGCUUGUGGAGUUGUAUAAUUCCCAACUCUUUGACCAAGUUAUUUCUUUCUAAUUAAUGGGCUAGUCAGCUAU